AAUGAACGCUGGCGGCGUGGAUUAGGCAUGCAAGUCGAACGCGAAAGUUCCCUUCGGGGAGCGAGUAGAGUGGCGAAAGGGUGAGUAAUGCUUGGAUGACCUGCCCUCGAGACGGAGACAACAGUUCGAAAGGACUGCUAAUACCCGAUAGUCCGGUUUAGAUGCGUCUAGAUCGGUAAAUGGUGCUUCCGCUCGAGGAGGGGUUCAAGUCCUAUCAGCUUGUUGGUGAGGUAACGGCUCACCAAGGCGAUGACGGGUAGCCGGACUGAGAGGUUGGCCGGCCACAUGGGAACUGAGACACUGUCCUGACUCCUACGGGAGGCUGCAGUCGAGAAUCUCCUGCAAUGGGCGAAAGCCUGACAGAGCGACGCCGCGUGUGUGAAGAAGGCCUGCGGGUUGUAAAGCACUUUCAGUAGGGAAGAUUAUGACGGUACCUACAGAAGAAGCACCGGCUAACUCCGUGCCAGCAGCCGCGGUAAUGUGACU
rnacentral:rRNA from 1 species